rnacentral:rRNA from 1 species
UGGUGGAGUGAUUUGUCUGGUCAAUUCCGUUAACGAACGAGACCUCGACCUGCUAAAUAGUUUGGCGAAUUCCAUCGUGGAUUCGUACAUAACUUCUUAGAGGGACUAUCGGUUGCAAGCCGGUGGAAGUUCGAGGCAAUAACA